rnacentral:rRNA from 1 species
AUACGGAGGGUGCAAGCGUUGUUCGGAAUUAUUGGGCGUAAAGCGCGUGUAGGCGGUUUGUUAAGUCUGGUGUGAAAGCCCUGGGCUCAACCUGGGAAGUGCAUUGGAUACUGGCAAACUUGAGUACGGGAGAGGAUAGUGGAAUUUCGAGUGUAGGGGUGAAAUCCGUAGAUAUUCGAAGGAACACCGGUGGCGAAGGCGGCUAUCUGGACCGAUACUGACGCUGAGACGCGAAAGCGUGGGGAGC